ACCAUAUUCUUUACAUGGCAUACUUCUUUUCCUGAUUCAUGACACAUAGGCUCAUUGACGCCUCUUUCUAAGUCACAACCCAUUUUUAACAUAUUGCUCAGACUAAAGAGAUAAGCCAAUCAAGACAUAAGAGGUAGGCCCCAGACGUUCAAAGUCGAUGAUUUUUAUAUUUGUUACAGUGACUUUUGCUUUUCUUUUCUUUUUUAAUUUACUUUUUAAUUUACUUUUUAAUUCAAUUUUUUCUUAUUUUUUAAAAACAAAAUUAAGCGGUGCCAUUUUUAUUUUCGUGUAAAAAUUUUCAAUCUACUUUAUGUCAAAGUAGCAUUGUUGAUCUUUCACGGAUUGAUCCCACUGAUUGCAGUGUUGUGAAGCAGAUUGGUGUAGAAAAUAUUCACAACAUUUGUUUAGAAACUAUCGGCUUAGAAGCAGCUACGAGGUAUGCAAUGUGUUAAAUAAAAGAAAUGGCAAUUUUUUCAAUUCUGCAAAUGAAAUUCUAUCGAGCCAUUGAGUUUCUGAAAUAAACUAGUCAAAAUAUACAGCUCAUUUUGCUUGUACAUGUACACAUGGUCAGCAUGUAUCCUGAUAUAUGUUUUCAUCCCAUGUAUAUAAUAUGUAUCUAGCUAGCUUGUCAACACUGUUUUAAUGAGCAUAUAAUACACAGGGAAGCAUCAGAGAACGCAGCGGUAGGUUUCAAGAAAUUCAGCAAUUCCAGAACAGUAAGUAAAUUUCACCACCUGGCCCUUCUGCAGUCCGUAGUAUCGAGCAAACGCAUCAGUUUCCAGCAUUCGAGGGAGCUGAAAGACAAGAUAAAAAUAGAGGUAGGUUGGUGUUCUACUUUGAUCAAUCAUGCAACAAAACUUAUGAGCAGUUACAUAGACAAACGAACACUGUUAUAAAAAAGAAUCCACCAUAUUCUUUACAUGGCAUACUUCUUUUCCUGAUUCAUGACACAUAGGCUCAUUGACGCCUCUUUCUAAGUCACAACCCAUUUUUUGCAUAUUGCUCAGACUAAAGAGAUAAGCCAAUCAAGACAUAAGAGGUAGCCCCCAGACAUUCAAAGUUGAUGAAUUCAAUUGCGAACUAUCAGACGUAUAGGCCAUAUUUCAUUUAUAAUUUCAUGCCCAGAAAAAAUUUCCACGUAGCUGAAGUUCAUUUAUGCAGCCUAAGCUUGCAUUACAUGGUUGAGCAGAUUACUUAGCUCCAAAGCGUCCUAACAAAAUUCUACCUGGCUUAAUAUAUUAAUUAAUUAGAUAUCGUAAGCUCAACUUUAAUCUUAAGUUGUGUCCAAUAAAACUGAGCUAACAACUUCUAGACAUCUUUUCUCAUUAGUUCUAUGUCCAUAAACCACCAGUACUACCGCACACUGACUCUCAACUGCUGAGUUAUAGACAUGAAGAAAUCCAAAUAUUCAGCCAGAUGGAAUUAGCAAGGGACUGAGCAGAUGGGAACUCCAGUCAUGAACCAAAGGUCAGCAAAAGGACGUUCAUGACAAGAUGCAUCGGUCAAUGGCACUGGCCUAAAUUGCAGCAUUUGAUUAUUAAAAACAGAACCCUUGAGUUUAAACCAGCGAACUACAACUUAUGGCCAAUUUGAGUACGCAAAAAAUCCAACAAAUUGAUCACUUCUUUGCUUCCUUUUUCCUUUUCUGCAACCGGCAUUCUAAUUGAACAAGUUAAUCAUCAACAAAUGGGCUUUGAAUAUCAACAAUGGGAUGGACGGUAAGAAAUUUAAAAGGGAGUUACUCCAAGACAGAGAAAAACUUCCACACGUCAACUUAAGUAAUGGCUUCCAUUUGUUAAUGAUCCCAUACCCCAAGAACUUUUUCCAUCAAUAGUAUGCAUAUGAAUGUAGAGUCAUUAAAUUUAUGAACGUCAAAGGAUGCAUUUAUUGUNN
rnacentral:lncRNA from 1 species